rnacentral:lncRNA from 1 species
AAUUGGCUGAUGGCAUAGAAGGUCUGUGCCAUCAGCCACUUCUUUGCCGUCAGCCACAGACGGCAAAGGGCCGCACAGCACACGGCAAAGCUGUAGGCGGGCCCACCUGACCGCGGGGACGGUAGGUCAAACUGGAGUCCCUUCUUUGUCGUCUGCUAGCGAACGACAAAGAGGCCGCCAGCAGACGGCAAAGACCUAACGUUUACUAACGGCUGUUCCGCCCCACCCUGGCCUCUCUCUCUC